rnacentral:rRNA from 1 species
CCUACGGGGCGCAGCAGUGAGGAAUAUUGGUCAAUGGACGCAAGUCUGAACCAGCCAUGCCGCGUGCAGGAAGACGGCUCUAUGAGUUGUAAACUGCUUUUGUACGAGGGUAAACGCAGAUACGCGUAUCUGUCUGAAAGUAUCGUACGAAUAAGGAUCGGCUAACUCCGUGCCAGCAGCCGCGGUAAUACGGAGGAUUCAAGCGUUAUACGGAUUUAUUGGGUUUAAAGGGUGCGUAGGCGGUCGGAUAAGUUAGAGGUGAAAUCCCGAGGCUCAACUUCGGAAUUGCCUCUGAUACGGUGCGGCUAGAGAGUAGUUGCGGUAGGCGGAAGGUAUGGUGUAGCGGUGAAAUGCUUAGAGAUCAUACAGAACACAGAUUGCGAAGGCAGCUUACCAAGCUACUUCUGACGUUGAGGCACGACAGCGUGGGGAGCAAACAGGAUUAGAUACCCCUGUAGUC